GAGAGGGUGUCCGGCCACACUGGGACUGAGAUACGGCCCAGACUCCUACGGGAGGCAGCAGUGGGGAAUAUUGCACAAUGGGCGCAAGCCUGAUGCAGCGACGCCGCGUGGGGGAUGACGGCCUUCGGGUUGUAAACCUCUUUCACCAUCGGCGAAGCCCAUGAUUGUUGUUGUGGGUGACGGUAGGUGGAGAAGAAGCACCGGCCAACUACGUGCCAGCAGCCGCGGUAAUACGUAGGGUGCGAGCGUUGUCCGGAAUUACUGGGCGUAAAGAGCUCGUAGGUGGUUUGUCGCGUUGUCCGUGAAAUUCCCUGGCUUAACUGGGGGCGUGCGGGCGAUACGGGCAGACUGGAGUACUGCAGGGGAGACUGGAAUUCCUGGUGUAGCGGUGGAAUGCGCAGAUAUCAGGAGGAACACCGGUGGCGAAGGCGGGUCUCUGGGCAGUAACUGACGCUGAGGAGCGAAAGCGUGGGGAGCGAACAGGAUUAGAUACCCUGGUAGUCCACGCCGUAAACGGUGGGUACUAGGUGUGGGUUUCCUUCCUUGGGAUCCGUGCCGUAGCUAACGCAUUAA
rnacentral:rRNA from 1 species